rnacentral:rRNA from 1 species
UACGUAGGGGGCUAGCGUUGUCCGGAUUUAUUGGGCGUAAAGAGCGUGUAGGCGGCCAGGUAGGUCCGUUGUGAAAACUCGAGGCUCAACCUCGAGACGUCGAUGGAAACCAUCUGGCUAGAGUCCGGAAGAGGAGAGUGGAAUUCCUGGUGUAGCGGUGAAAUGCGCAGAUAUCAGGAAGAACACCCGUGGCUAAGGCGGCUCUCUGGGACGGUACUGACGCUGAGACGCGAAAGCGUGGGGAGCGAACAGGAUUAGAUACCCCGUU